UACGAAGGGGCUAGCGUUGCUCGGAAUCACUGGGCGUAAAGCGCACGUAGGCGGAUCUUUAAGUCAGGGGUGGAAAUCCCGGGGCCUCGAACCUCGGAACUAGCCCUUGAUACUGGGGAUCUCGAGUCCGGAAGAGGUUGGUGGAACUCCGAGUGUAGAGGUGAAAUUCGUAGAUAUUCGCAAGAACACCAGUGGCGAAGGCGGCUCACUGGCCCGGUACUG
rnacentral:rRNA from 1 species